ACGGCCAUACCACAUUGAAAACACCGGUUCUCGUCCAAUCACCGAAGUUAAGCAAUGUCGGGCCCGGACAGUACUUGGGAGGGUGACCACCUGGGAAGACCGGGUGCUGUAGGCU
rnacentral:rRNA from 1 species